CACCAUGGAUCUAGGUGAGGACAGGCGCUCCUGCUUUCCCGCCCAAAUGUUGUAUUUUCCAAGCCUACCCUUGCCGGCCACGCCCCCAACCUGGGCCUAUAAAAACCGCCCCCCGCAGGCCCUAGCGGGCAGACACACUGAAGUCGCUAGACGUCUGAGGAACACAUCCGGGGAAGAAGACACAGGUGGCUGGUCAUCGAGAGCCCGCUGGGGGAAGAGCACACAGACAGGCACCGGCAGGCCAUUGACCAGCGGGACAAGGUGGGCUCAAUGUCAUCACAAGGGUGCUUAAGAGGGAAAGAGGAAGCCAUGAGGGUCAGAGUCAAAGGAAGACUUGAAGAUACUACACUGCGGACUUUACAGAUGAAGGAAGGGGCGAAAACCAAGAAUGUGGGAAGCCUCUAGAAGCUAGAGAAGGCAAGGAAACAAAUUUUCCACUAGAGCCUCCAGAAGGAACACAGCCCUGCUGACCCACUGUAAUGUCUGACCUCUAGAUGUGUAAGGGUAGUAAGACUGAAAGUCUCAGAAAGGCACUGUUACAUUCUUAUUCCACAACUAUGCAACUCGAAACUGGGGUCCUCAGCAGUGAGCGAGGGGUGAGAGAAGACACUGUAUAAACAUGGCACAUCCUCCUGGAAAGUCAACUUUACUCAAAGGUUCUUACACACAGUGACAGCUAGCAGAGUCUAAAAUGCUGACAUUAUGACUUAGAGAUGUGAUAAAGAGAAACAUCUACUGCAUUUUCUGUAAGUAAAUGUGGUGCCGGCAUUGAGAGAACAUACGUAAUCAGAUACCUGUUCUCCCUGAGUUUCUUAAUUUAAGCCUCGCGAUUCCUAAUUAGCAGUUAGAUUGCAUCCAUUGUUAUUUUGUCUUUGGUUAUCAAUGAUGAUCAACCUUUGCUAAACAAAGAUAUGUCAUCAUGCUGGGGACACUCAUGGAUUUUUUUUUUAAAGGUUUUAACAUUUGAUAAUAGGUUUUCCAAUAGCUUGAAGGGUAGCUUUUAACAUUUCUUUUCCAGCUGAAGUAUUUCCUGAGUUCUGUCCAAGCCCUCUGUAGUUAAAGAAAAGGCUUUUUGACACUGAAUAGACAAUGUUGUGGCUUUUUUUUUCCUUCUUCAGACAAAUGUGUAGGCAUUUAGACCGCCACGUUGUACUCUCGUAAUUGAGACACCUUGCAGAAAUGGCAAUUAAGGGUGACUCGUGUCAAAAAUAUUCAGGACAAAUUACAUUUUACUGAUUUUUAAAAACUUUCAAAGGUACUCUCUCCUCUUUCUUUCUCCUUUCUCUCUUCCUACCUCCCUCCCACCCGCUCCUCGUUUUUUCUUUUAAAUAUUAAGUAAACUGUUUGCAUUUUUACGUCUCAUCAAAGUUGUUCCAGGUUUUUUCUGGGUUUACUGAAACUUCAAAUUGACUACUCAGAUCAAAACAAUUAGUGAAGUCUAAGGUAUUCUUAAUUCCUGAAAUGAAAACAGAAUGGACGUUCAGGACGUUCUGUUUUGCUCUGGCUACCCGCUUGGCUUCUCGCUCAGAAUAUUCUUGCUCUCAAGUUAGUUCCAGUUCUGUUUAUUUUGUCCUGAGCUCAGUGAACUUUCCAAAGCCCUACUCUUCAAACAACACUUUUUUUCCCCCGCCCCGUGAGCUGGAGUUUAUUUUGUGCUCACCCUUCAUUCUGUGAGUUGUGAAUAAUUUUAACACAAAGAAAAAAAAAUCUCCUCCCGACCACGGAGAGAAGAGGGGAUUUUAGAAUAAAGAUAAAAAUUGCUGUUUUAGCCCCCAAAGCAAAGGACUUGGGAAAGAAGAGAAAAGGGGGGAAAAUAGAACAGCAAAGGAAAAAAAAAAAAAAA
rnacentral:lncRNA from 1 species